GGCAGUUCUUGGGUGACGCACCCCAGAAUCGGGCUCCCUCCUCUCUGGUUUUUGGGGUGUGUCACCCAAAAACCGCA
rfam:Myotis davidii contig121147, whole genome shotgun sequence.